AAAUAUGAACCGCUGAAUUUCACGACACGUGGAAGCGGGGGAACCACUGGGACCGGACCGUAAGCCGGACUAUGGGGUGAAUCCCAAGGUAACUUGGGUAAGGCGACUCUCACGCCCGAAUCCGACAGCUAACCUCGUAAGCGAAUCUAGGGAGCAACA
rnacentral:sRNA from 2 species